UCACGUGUAGAGUCUGUCCGGUGCUGUGCGCCUGUGCCUGACUCUUGCAUCGUGCUCUGCCUGCCUGACUCCUGCGCCAUGCUGCAUCUCGUCUAUGGCAGCAGGAGCGUGCGGUGUGGGUGCCGCCAACCCAACCCAUAGCAGCCACAACCCUUGCUCCUCCCUUCCUCGUCAACAUAGCCGCCGCGCCACCUCGCUCCUCCGGUUCUCCCUCCCCCAUCAGCCCCAGGAGCUCUUCCUCUUCUUUCUACAAGAUCCAUCGCCUCACGAGGUCCUUAUCCACCCCAGCUCGUGAGGAAGUCGUGGGAGGAGGGGCUCAACCGGGCGUCGCCAUCCGGAGAAGAAGGAGAGGCACGGAUGCCAGCUAGGGAGGCGGAUCGGUUCGCCUCCGCUGUGUCGUGAGUGCCACCGCCGCCUCUACAUCCACCUUGCUCCGCAUAACAGCAUUUGUGCGGAAGCGGGGAUAGGCGACCACGAGCAGAUGGCGUCGGCGGCAACGGCAACACGCACGGUGCGUGAGGGUGAGGUCCGGUAAGAUGGGCUCGGCCUCCCCACAUGCGUUCAGGAUGGCGUGCCAGACGGCUCGGAAUGUGCGCGCCCGGCUCACAAGAGGUAUGCUUCAGAGCACGCCGGCGGCAACAUGCACCGCGAGGUCCCGGAGCAGCCCAGCAAGAGCCCCUCCGUACUGGAGGAACCCUGCGUCUCCAUCCUCACCUCCACCCACAGCCAAGGAGAGGGAGAGAAGGAAAGGAGGGAGAAAGAGAUAGGAAGUGGAGAGGGAGGUGCGGCAUCGAACGGGUGAGGGUCACUGGUCUGCACCGGCGAGGUCGGGCACGAUCUGGUGCUUGGUGGUUGCUCGAUCUGCUCCUUGGAUCAGGGCCUCCAGGACCAACAAGGAGGCUCUCAGGCUCGUCUUCUAACCUGCAGCUGCCUAUACAGGCAGCGGGAGCGCCGCUUAGACCAUGGGGGCGGCUUGGUCCAGCUACAGCGAGCGCAUCUGAUUCAAACACAUAAAGGUGAGCUUCACACAUCGUUCCCUCUUUUAUUCUUCUCAGGCAACGAGGGACAAGUGGAUGUCGUGCUGUCAUGUGGAAGGCAACAUGUGCUAAUUCAUAUGUGGAGUUGGUGUUGAGCCUGGCGGUAGUAGACAUGAAAGGUGCCCGUCGCUUGAUCUUGAGAGUUGAUUCAUAUAUUUUUUGAAACUAUGAAGACAUUUAUUAGAUGGCCAUGAUUGCUUCUUGUCUUUUUGGUGUGUUUUGUUCUACUGAUAAGUGGCAAGAAAGAAAAAAGCUGCUUGAAUUAUAGAUUGUGUUGUAAGAAAAUUAUGUGAAAGGAAUAUGGACUGCGUAUAUAGGUAUGAUGCAACCUUUUUUCAUCC